GCGUUCGUGGCUCAGCUGGAUAGAGCAACGGACUUCGAAUCCGUAGGUCGCAGGUUCGAAUCCUGCCGGACGCA
rnacentral:tRNA from 1 species